GCACUGCUGAAGAGUCCAAAAGUAGGACUAAACGGCUGUCCAGUGU
rnacentral:hammerhead_ribozyme from 1 species